rnacentral:rRNA from 1 species
UACGGGGGGGGCAAGCGUUGUUCGGAAUUAUUGGGCGUAAAUAGCUCGUAGGCGGUCUGUCGCGUCGAUCGUGAAAACUUGGGGCUUAACCCUGAGCUUGCGGUCGAUACGGGCAUGACUGGAGUUCGGCAGGGGAGACUGGAAUUCCUGGUGUAGCGGUGAAAUGCGCAGAUAUCAGGAGGAACACCGGUGGCGAAGGCGGGUCUCUGGGCCGAUACUGACGCUGAGGAGCGAAAGCGUGGGGAGCGAACAGG